rnacentral:rRNA from 1 species
GACGAACGCUGGCGGCGCGCCUAACACAUGCAAGUCGAACGGAGCUUAGAGAGCUUGCUUUUUAAGCUUAGUGGCGAACGGGUGAGUAACGCGUGAGUAACCUGCCCUGGAGUGGGGGACAACAGUUGGAAACGACUGCUAAUACCGCAUAAGCCCACGGUACCGCAUGGUACAGUGUGAAAAACUCCGGUGGUGUGAGAUGGACCCGCGUCUGAUUAGCUAGUUGGCAGGGUAACGGCCUACCAAGGCGACGAUCAGUAGCCGACCUGAGAGGGUGACCGGCCACAUUGGGACUGAGACACGGCCCAGACUCCUACGGGAGGCAGCAGUGGGGAAUCUUCCGCAAUGGGCAAAGCCUGACGGAGCAACGCCGCGUGAGUGAUGACGGCCUCGGGUUGUAAA